AUCGUGGCGGGAGACAGUGUCAGGUAGGCAGUUUGACUGGGGCGGUCGCCUCCUAAAAUGUAACGGAGGCGCCCAAAGGUUCCCUCAGAAUGGUUGGAAAUCAUUCGCAGAGUGUAAAGGUAGAAGGGAGCUUGACUGCGAGACUGACAAGUCGAGCAGGGACGAAAGUCGGGCUUAGUGAUCCGGUGGUUCCGUAUGGAAGGGCCAUCGCUCAACGGAUAAAAGCUACCCUGGGGAUAACAGGCUUAUCUCCCCCAAGAGUCCACAUCGACGGGGAGGUUUGGCACCUCGAUGUCGGCUCAUCGCAUCCUGGGGCUGUAGUCGGUCCCAAGGGUUGGGCUGUUCGCCCAUUAAAGCGGUACGCGAGCUGGGUUCAGAACGUCGUGAGACAGUUCGGUCCCUAUCCGUCGCGGGCGCAGGAAAUUUGAGAGGAGCUGUCCUUAGUACGAGAGGACCGGGAUGGACGUUCCGCUGGUGUACCAGUUGUGCCGCCAGGCGCAUCGCUGGGUAGCUAUGAACGGAAGGGAUAAACGCUGAAAGCAUCUAAGUGUGAAGCCCCCCUCGAGAUGAGAUUUCCCAUUCCUAUAUGGAAGUAAGACCCCUGAAAGAUGAUCAGGUAGAUAGGCUGGAAGUGGAAGUGCAGCGAUGCAUGGAGCGGACCAGUACUAAUCGGUCGAGGACUUAACCAAG
rnacentral:rRNA from 3 species